UACGUAGGGUGCAAGCGUUGUCCGGAAUUAUUGGGCGUAAAGAGCGUGUAGGCGGUCCGGUAAGUCAGCUGUGAAAGUCAAGGGCUCAACCCUUGAAUGCCGGUUGAUACUGUCGGGCUAGAGUCCGGAAGAGGCGAGUGGAAUUCCUGGUGUAGCGGUGAAAUGCGUAGAUAUCAAGAGGAACACCGGUGGCGAAGGCGGCUCUCUGGUCCAUGUCUGACGCUGAGGUACGAAAGCCAGGGGAGCAAACGGG
rnacentral:rRNA from 1 species